rnacentral:rRNA from 14 species
AACUUUUGACAACGGAUCUCUUGGUUCUCCCAUCGAUGAAGAACGCAGCGAAACGCGAUAGGUAAUGUGAAUUGCAGAAUUCAGUGAAUCAUCGAAUCUUUGAACGCAUCUUGCGCUCCUUGGUAUUCCUCGGAGCAUGCCUGUUUGAGUGUC